GAGUUUGAUCCUGGCUCAGGAUGAACGCUGGCGGAGUGCCUAAUACAUGCAAGUCGAACGCACAGCGAAAGGUGCUUGCACCUUUCAAGUGAGUGGCGAACGGGUGAGUAACACGUGGAUAACCUACCUCAAGGUUGGGGAUAACAUUUGGAAACAGAUGCUAAUACCGAAUAACAACUUCGUAUCGCAUGAUACAAGGUUAAAAGGCGCUACGGCGUCACCUAGAGAUGGAUGCGCGCGGUGGCAUUAGUUAGUUGGUGGGGUAAAGGCCUACCAGAGACAAUGAUGCAUCAGCCGAGUUGAGAGACUGAUUCGGCCACAUUUGGGACUGAGACACGGCCCAAACUCCUACGGGAGGCUGCAGUAGGGAAUCUUCCACAAUGGGCGAAAGCCUGAUGGAGCAACGCCGCGUGUGUGAUGAAGGCUUUCGGGUCGUAAAGCACUGUUGUAUGGGAAGAACAGCUAGAGUAGGGAAUGACUUUAGUUUGACGGUACCAUACCAGAAAGGGACGGCUAAAUACGUGCCAGCAGCCGCGGUAAU
rnacentral:rRNA from 1 species